GGAUGUGAGGGCUCUCUGGCUGCAACAUGUCACCCCACUGAUCCCCAGGAUUGAUUCACUGAAUUGGCUGGCUUGGCAGGUGUCCCCUUCCUCAGAGCUCCAUGCGCAUCCCUCCUGAAGCUGCACACUGUGCUAGGUGGAAGAAGACAGCCUUCCCCUAUAAAAGAAGACUGUGCUUUGUCAAGGGCUUAUGAGUGAGUGUUAGAACCUCCAAAAAUGCUCUCAAGGUCCACUGUAGGAGAACAUAGGGUAGUCAAGCUUCUAAGCCUCCAGACACAUCCAAAUGAGGCGCCUUAAAAAAGGCAGUCUGCCUUA
rfam:Canis lupus familiaris chromosome 2, whole genome shotgun sequence.